rnacentral:rRNA from 1 species
GUGCCAGCCGCCGCGGUAAUACGAACCGUACAAACGUUAUUCGGAAUCACUGGGCUUAAAGGGUGCGUAGGCGGCCACGUAAGUGAGAUGUGAAAUCCCUCGGCUCAACCGAGGAAGUGCAUUUCAUACUGCAUGGCUUGAGGGAGACAGGGGUAAGCGGAACUGAUGGUGGAGCGGUGAAAUGCGUUGAUAUCAUCAGGAACACCGGUGGCGAAAGCGGCUUACUGGGUCUCUUCUGACGCUGAGGUACGAAAGCUAGGGUAGCGAACGGGAUUAGAUACCCUGGUAGUCC